rnacentral:rRNA from 1 species
AAUAGAUACCCGGGUAGUCCACGCCGUAAACGAUGGAUGCUAGCUGUUAUGGGUAUCGACCCCCGUAGUAGCGAAGCUAACGCGUUAAGCAUCCCGCCUGUAGAGUACGGUCGCAAGACUAAAACAUAAAGGAAUUGACGGGGACCCGCACAAGCGGUGGAGCGUGUUGUUUAAUUCGAUGGUAAACGAAGAACCUUACCCAGGCUUGACAUCCAUGGAAUUUUUCCGAAAGGAAAGAGUGCUUUUUGAACCAUGUGACAGGUGUUGCAUGGCCGUCGUCAGCUCGUGUCGUGAGAUGUUUGGUUAAGUCCAUCAACGAGCGCAACCCUUAUGGUCUGUUGUAUUUUUCAGGCCAGACUGCCCUGGCAACAGGGAGGAAGGAGGGGAUGAUGUCAGGUCAGUAUUACCCUUACGUCUGGGGCUACAAACACGCUACAAUGGCCGGUACAAAGGGCAGCCAAGUCGCGAGACGGAGCAAAUCCCAUCAAAGCCGGUCUCAGUUCGGAUAGCAGACUGAAACUCGCCUGCUUGAAGCCGGAAUCGCU